rnacentral:rRNA from 1 species
AGCGAACGCUGGCGGCAGGCCUAACACAUGCAAGUCGAACGGAUCCUUCGGGAUUAGUGGCGGACGGGUGAGUAACACGUGGGAACGUGCCUUUUGGUUCGGAACAACUCAGGGAAACUUGAGCUAAUACCGGAUGUGCCCUUCGGGGAAGGAUUUAUCGCCAUUAGAGCGGCCCGCGUCUGAUUAGCCAGUUGGUGGGGUAAAGGCCUACCAAGGCAACGAUCAGUAGCUGGUCUGGGAGGANGAUCAGCCACAUUGGGACUGAGACACGGCCCAAACUCCUACGGGAGGCAGCAGUGGGGAAUCUUGCGCAAUGGGCGAAAGCCUGACGCAGCCAUGCCGCGUGAAUGAUGAAGGU